CAACAUUUCUCUGACUCUCUCUGGCUCUUCUGUUAGAGAGUUAGUAGCACCUUUUUGUGCUGCUCUUCCUGGUUGGUGAUGGUCGUAGCUCGUGUGCUUGGCUCUGGAGUCUGUUGGCUCCACCUUCCAGAAACUGCGUGGCCCUCCAUAUUCUUGGAAGUUCAGUUCAUGGUCUCUUGACAUCUUUUCUUCAUGGUCAACUUUAUUUUCAAGAUUAUAUAUUUUGUCUUCAUUGCCUGAAACUCUGUCUUCCAUCUGUUGGUGAUGCUCUCCGUUGAAUUUUUAAUUUGGUUUAUUGAUUCCUUCAUUCUGAGAAUUUCUUCUUGGGUGUUUUUUUUCAGAACCUCCAUCUCUUUAUUGAGGUGAUCUUUCAUGUCCUGCAUUUCCUCGGAUUUCUCUCCUCACAGCGUCCUUGACCUCGAAGGUGGCCCUGCAGAACCUAGUUCCACCCCACGCCCUGUGCUCUUCUGCAGGGUGUCUUCUUGAUGCGUCCUCUCCAUGCUGACCCUGUGGGCUGCCCACUCCUCUUGCAUCCUCACUCCAGGCAAGGGUGAUUUCCGUUCGUCUACACAACUGAGUUAGCAAUUAACUCACUCAGAUUUUGUCUGAAAACAAAUGUCUUUGCCUUUAUUUCUGCUCAGGAUAGAAUUCAAGACUGGCCGUCCUAUAACCCCAGCAUUUUAGCAGUUGUCCCACUGUCCUCUGUC
rnacentral:lncRNA from 1 species